UGAGGUCCAAAUAGCUGAAGAGGUGGAGACAUUACAGAAACCAACUGGAGCCCCCAGAACUGGCAGACACCUGCCUGAUGAUGCCAUGGGCUCCCAGCUUCUUGGCUAUGUGGUCCUUUGGCUCCUAGGAACAGGCCCCUUGGAAGCCCAAGUGACCCAGAACCCAAGAUACCUCAUCACAGUGACUGGAAAGAAGCUGACGGUGACUUGUUCUCAGGAUAUGAACCAUAAUUACAUGUCCUGGUAUCGACAAGACCCAGGGCUGGGCCUAAGGCAGAUCUACUAUUCAAAUAAUGUUGAGCUGGUUGAUGAGGGAGAUGUUCCUGAAGGGUACAACGUCUCUCGAAAAGAGAAGAGGAAUUUCCCCCUGAUCCUGGAGCGGCCCCGCCCCGACCAGACCUCUCUGUACCUCUGUGCCAGCAGUUUAUCCACAGCGCUGCACAGCCAGCUGCUCUCUGCACAAAAACGGAGGGCAGCUGCAAGAACAAGAAGAUUCCUCCUUCAGGAGACCCUCUCUGACCAACAGGAAAAACUUCCUCCAUCAUCGCACAGAAGCUCUUCCCCACUCCCCAGCCUCAGGGACUCUGCAGUGCAGCUGCUCUGCAGAACCAGGGGUCCAUCCUCUACCUGCUGUACCAAUGAGCUUUCAAGGUUCAGCAGGACAAGCUAACUGCGUUAGGCCUAGUGCCAGGGUACACUCUCCAAUCCUUUCUUCUUGUGGAGCUUAAAUCUUUAAAUUCGACUAAGCUAUUGCCCAAACUGAAGACUCCAUUUCCAAUCUAAUGGCUCUCAACGAUAUUCGGUCCUGUAUUCCAGGUCCUAUUCAGGAGGUUUUGUCACUUGGAGGAACACCAUGUUUGGGGUUAUUGACGAAAUCCAACACCUCCUAUUUUCUUCCUCUCAGCAGACGGUCCUACCAUCCGUCCAAAUGCCCAAGCCAGAGACGCAGGACUGAUCUUCACCGUCUCUCUGACUUUCUCCUUCCAUACCAAAUCCACCACCCCCCCAUCCUGCAUUUUUCUAAGUACUAAAUUCCUCAACAAUUUUAGUAACUUUUCUAACUUCACUGAUCUCACCUGGAUUCCUUUAGCCACCUUUCAAGUAGCCGCCCUCUCUGCAAGCUUGCGACCUGCCCCCACCUACAAACACUCCCUCAAGCUUAAAACCCUUUGACUUAUUUCUAUUAACUAGCUAAAGUCGCAAGUUCAUCUUAGUUUGCAAAUCCCUCAGCCCUCUCCAUGAUGUGACCUUUGCACACCCGCCCACCAGUCUAACGCUGACUUCCCCAUCCUUCAAGUACCACAAGUGCCUGCAUCUACUCCAGAAAUUUUCCACUUCUCACAGGUCCCCAAAUAUGUCCACUGCUGACUCACUUCUGGAUCUUCAUUUACAACGGUCACUCUACCUAGAAUAUCAUCUCUGUGUCUGGUAUUCAUCUGUUUUGCAGCUGCCCUUUAUGUGCAGAGAGCAGUUGGCUGUGCAGCCCUGUGAAGAAACUCGUGGUGCAGACAUACAGAGAGGUCUGGUUGGGACUGGGUGACUCCAGGAUCAGGGGGAAAUUCUCCUUCAUAGACCAAUUUAGAAGUCACUUCCUCCAAGACUAUUUCCUUGAAUCACUGACUGCGUCGUUUCUCUGCUGUGGGGUCUUGUAACAGCCUGAACAGAGCUAACACCAGCACUGAGACACCACCAUGAACUCACCAGCCGUUGACUUCUCUGUUCUAUAGCUUUUUAUCUCCUUGGAAUAGGUAGGUCACGGGUAGAGGUAUGAUGUCCUUGAACCUGGUUUGCUGGAGCCUACAUUAAGCCUUUUCCUGGUGGUUACACAUCAGGAUAUUUCCCACAUUCUCUCUUUUUGUCCACAAUGUCCAUGAAUGCUGGUGUCACUGAAAUUUCAGUUUAUCAAGCUUCAGAGUCAGAAAAGAAAGUUUUCUAAUACAACCAGAAUAUGUUUUAUGACCUAUAUGUGCUGAGCCAGACAAGAGCCAGGAAUGAAGCUGCAAGUAAUCUAUUUCUCAGUUGGUGCUUAGAGAACAAACAAAUAGAAAGUCUCUAAUAGACCUGUGUCUCUUGAGAUAAGACUGAGCAUUUCUUACAACCUCCAGACAUCCAGCCCUUCGCAGCCCUCCCGGCUGUUAACCUGCAGCACUACACAGCCACUUCCUCUCUGCACAGAAAAGGCUGCCACAGGGAGAGAUGGUCUUACCUUCCUGAGCCUGCCCUUACCAGAGGAAGCCACUGCCACCACAGAAGCUCUCAGGAGCCUUUCCCAUCCUUGCACUGAGACUUUCAGAGCUCUGGGAGCCCUGGUCUGUAAAAGUUUGUCCCCGGCCAGGUGCGGUGGCUCAUGCCUGUAAUCCCAGCACUUUGGGAGACUGAGGCAGGU